UACGUAGGGUGCGAGCGUUGUCCGGAAUUAUUGGGCGUAAAGAGCUUGUAGGCGGUUUGUCGCGUCUGCUGUGAAAUCUCAAGGCUCAACCUUGAGCUUGCAGUGGGUACGGGCAGACUAGAGUGUGGUAGGGGAGACUGGAAUUACCGGUGUAGCGGUGAAAUGCGUAGAUAUCGGUAGGAACACCAGUGGCGAAGGCGGUCUCCUGGGGCAUUCUUGACGCUGAGGCGCGAAAGCUGGGGGAGCGAACGGG
rnacentral:rRNA from 1 species